AUUGAACGCUGGCGGCAGGCCUAACACAUGCAAGUCGAGCGGAAACGAUGGAAGCUUGCUUCCAGGCGUCGAGCGGCGGACGGGUGAGUAAUGCAUAGGAAUCUGCCUGAUAGUGGGGGAUAACGUUCGGAAACGGACGCUAAUACCGCAUACGUCCUACGGGAGAAAGCAGGGGAUCUUCGGACCUUGCGCUAUCAGAUGAGCCCAGGUCGGAUUAGCUUGUUGGUGAGGUAAAGGCUCACCAAGGCGACGAUCCGUAACUGGUCUGAGAGGAUGAUCAGUCACACUGGAACUGAGACACGGUCCAGACUCCUACGGGAGGCAGCAGUGGGGAAUAUUGGACAAUGGGGGCAACCCUGAUCCAGCCAUGCCGCGUGUGUGAAGAAGGCUUUCGGGUUGUAAAGCACUUUCAGUGAGGAGGAAAACCUUACGACUAAUACUCGUGAGGCUUGACGUUACUCACAGAAGAAGCACCGGCUAACUCCGUG
rnacentral:rRNA from 1 species